rnacentral:rRNA from 1 species
UCCGUAGGUGAACUGCGGAGGGAUCAUUG